rnacentral:rRNA from 1 species
CAGUAGCCGCGGGAAUACGUAGGUGGCAAGCGUUGUCCGGAAUUAUUGGGCGUAAGGGGCUCGCAGGCGGUUUCUUAAGUCUGAUGUGAAAGCCCCCGGCUCAACCGGGGAGGGUCAUUGGAAACUGGGAAACUUGAGUGCAGAAGAGGAGGGUGGAAUUCCACGUGUAGCGGUGAAAUGCGUAGAGAUGUGGAGGAACACCAGUGGCGAAGGCGACUCUCUGGUCUGUAACUGACGCUGAGGAGCGAAAGCGUGGGGAGCGAACAGGAUUAGAUACCCGGGUAGUCCCUGUCUCUUAUAC